rfam:Strigamia maritima strain Brora ctg7180001227334, whole genome shotgun sequence.
ACAAUGGUUUUUUUCAAAACCAAAAACAGUAGAUACAAACGCAACU